GGGUUGGGGGAGGGGCAUGGUAGUUUUGCUAUGAUGUCAUCAGUCAUGUAAGGCCCAUUUUAGAGAAUCAGCCCUUUCUGAGGGUAUGAUGCUCCCCCAGGCUCAGUUCCCUGGGGCCCAGUCUCUCCAGGGCACCCAGCCACCCCGGCUGCCUGAAAGGGCACAGAGAGUUGGGUCUGGGCCUGUUGAUGUUCAUCAAAGACCACCAGGAGGACACUUAUAAGUCAAUCAGAGUUGAGUUUAGUGUCUUGUUGAAACAAGAGAGACUGACAGGUGGAAAACUGAGGGGGCUGUCUGGAAGAGUGUCAGGAAGAACUUAGAAUCUGAUUUGGACUUGAGCUGGGUAAUUUGGAAGUGGGCUCAGGGAAGUGUGUUUUGCUCUGGAUCAUGGACAGGAGGGAUAAUCCUGUGAUUGUUUAAUGAGCCUUAUGUGGGAGUCAGGAGGAGGGAAGUGGGGCUAACGCUGUAAACAGUAAAGAAGUUUCAAUCACUCUCUGAGCCAGAAGACGUGUUUCUGGAACAUUCUUCAGGUCCUGGCUGUUCCUGCUUUUGUUGAUGCUCAGAUGUGAUUGUUAGAUGACCUUGUUAGGCACUUUCUGAGCCACAAGAGGAGCCCUGGAACAUUCUUCAGGUCCUGGCUGUUCCUGUUUUUGUUGAUGCUCAGGUGUGAUUGUUAGAUGACCUUGUUAGGCACUUUCUGAGCCACAAGAGGAGCCCUGGAACAUUCUUCAGGUCCUGGCUGUUCCUGUUUUUGUUGAUGCUCAGGUGUGAUUGUUAGAUGACCUUGUUAGGCACUUUCUGAGCCACAAGAGGAGCCCUGGAACAUUCUUCAGGUCCUGGCUGUCCCUGUUUUUGCUGAUGCUCAGGCUUGGCUGUCAGACGGCCUUGUUUUUAUCUUCAUCUGUCACACCACCCAGUGGCCUUGUCUGCUAGAUGUGUCCUGGGAAACUGUCU
ensembl:lncRNA